rnacentral:lncRNA from 1 species
UGCCGCUAAAGCUAUUGUUUCUCCUGAUUCUGUGGAAAAUGUAAAUGCGGUGACCACGAGAUGGGGUAAGACCACUCGUGAUCCCCCUUAUCCUUGUUGAUGCAAAACUGAUCUGCAAACACAAAGGGCUAAUACCCGAUUCAAACGUUAAGGCGUGCCAGCCGAUUUGACCUUACUAUCGGCAAAGGUGAUAACUCGAAUACUUUAGUCCUGACAACAGCGAUGCGCCCGGAUGUCACGGCUAAGAGGUACUCACGCGGAACUUGAGAACACGCCGAGCUUAAGUCGACGAAUUCCUAAGAACUCGUAAUAAAAAGAAAAAAAA